GAUUAACGCUAGCGGCAGGCAUAAUACAUGCAAGUUGAACGGGAUUAGUUUAGCAAUAGACUAUGAGAGUGGCGCACGGGUGCGUAACACGUAUGCAACCUGCCCCUGACAGGAGGAUAGCCUCUCGAAAGAGAGAUUAAUAUUCCAUAACAUAUAGGGUAAGCAUUUACUUUAUAUCAAAGCUCCGGCGGUCAGGGAUGGGCAUGCGGUUGAUUAGCUAGUUGGUGAGGUAACGGCUCACCAAGGCGACGAUCAAUAGGGGGUCUGAGAGGAUGUCCCCCCACACUGGUACUGAGACACGGACCAGACUCCUACGGGAGGCAGCAGUAGGGAAUAUUGGUCAAUGGAGGCAACUCUGAACCAGCCAUGCCGCGUGCAGGAAGACUGCCCUAUGGGUUGUAAACUGCUUUUGUACGGGAAGAAACCUCACUACGUGUAGUGAGUUGACGGUACCGUAAGAAUAAGGAUCGGCUAACUUCGUGCCAGCAGCCGCAGUAACAC
rnacentral:rRNA from 1 species